AUAUGUUUAUAAAUCCAUUGUAAAUACGCAAAUCAGAGAUGGAAACCUAGUUUUUAUAUAGUGAAAUUUGACAAGGUAUAUUACAGAAAAUGUUGAGAUGGUUAUGCUUAUUUCAAAUUACAGUACCUUCUUAAUUUUACCAUGAGCCUACAUUAGGUCGCCCACUAAGGCCAUCUUACACAAAACACAUGUUGUGAUUUGAAAUUCAAAGAGAAUCAAAACACAAUAGUGCAAAAACUACCAAGUUUAUUAUCAAAAGCUUCUUGGCUGAUCUUAGGGUAAGAAUACAUAAAACGCUUUUUAGACUGGCUUAAGUUAUCGGCUUCUUUGGAAAAGAACAAUAUUAAAUGCCGCCAUAUGGCGAUCCCACUUACGUUAUGUUUUAAUGUUUUUAAUGUUAAUGUUAAUGUUUAAUGUUUUUACUCUUUUAUGGAUGUGUGUUUUUGUGAGCUUGGUAUAUCCGUGAAUUAAUUGAAUAAGUAAAUCAGUUUAGUUUAGAAACAGUUAUAUAUAAGUAAUUCGCAGACUACAGGAAUAGUCUUACGAAUAUUACGUAACUUUGGUUAGAUACAGUUAUAUUUGAUCAUCUCGGGGACCACAGUAUUAGUCUUCAGCAAACGAAAAUAAAUUAUAUAAAACGUUUGACAUCGUUUCGUUCUGUAAAUGAAACAACACCGAUACUGCUUGUGUAGAUGAGUGGAAACACAAAAAAAUUAAAUGUAAUCAACUGGAUAACGCAAAAUUGGAAACGAAACAGUACAAUACAUAUUGUAAACUAUUGCAAACGUAAAUAAUGAUAAACUAAUAUUACGUUAAAUUUUUGUUUUUUUAUUCACUUAUUUAAAAUCACGCAUCUUAAUGUACCAGUCAUCGUUUCCCACAACAGCUCGGCAAAUCACAGCCGAAGUUCAUUGAGGCAAUCGUAUUGGUUGUGUACUUCUGGCAUUGAAAUAUUUAUGGUUUUGUUUGGAGCACAAAAUGAUUGAAACUUCGUGACUUCGUGUGAGCAGUACGUUGUUCUCAUGGCGCAAUAACAAAGUGUUCCUGCUAAUUUUAAAAACCAGAUGAAAUUCCAAAAUUGUUUUACAAUUUUUCGGUUGUUGUUUAUCUCUUGUUCUGUGAUUUCAAUCACAAUAAUGCAUUUAAGAUGGCUAUUGUUUUUAUUUGUUUUUGUGCGCUGAUAGUCUUAUCGACCGCAUUUUCUAGAAGAAGUGGAGAUUCGAAGGCGAUAGGUCUCCUCAAUUGUUUGUGGCUUUCCAUAAGCUGUAAUCUGGUCUUUUUGUUUGUUCUAGGUUAUUUAGGAAUAUUUUUAAAUUUCGCUAUUCGUUUAAUUUGAUUGCAUGUUUUAGCAGUUUUCUAUUCUUUUCAUUUGUCUCUGAGCCUGGGUGAGCGACCCCUCUACCAUUCUCUUUUGGCUUUAAUUUUUUCGGACACGAUGUUAUGGCAAUUGGUUUGUUUCUCUGCUUUAAGGAAGUUUAUGGGAGUAGGUAGUAAGGAGGCUGUCAGGUAGAUAUCACAUCCAGUUUAGCGGGCAAAAUCAAGAUUAAAAGUUGUCUACCUCUGGAUGUGAUGAGUCUAGACUCCUGGAAAUUGUGCUUAGCGUUAUAAUCGCAUACUGCAAUGAAUCGAGCAAGAUAACAAGGAAUGUGAAUUUGUCUUUGCUUAUACCAUUAUACUCUAUUACUUGAAAAUACUUUGGAAGUAUAUUCUGUCUUUACGUGCUAAAAUAACAUUUAUCAAUUCUGUAAAAUCUGUCACUCCUCAUACGGAAAUAUUUUAGAUAUGAAUAUAGAUUUUAUUAGAAAUAUGUCAAGGUCGAGUUCGUCAGAAAAUGAUUGCCAUAUUCAAUUUAGCCAAUGAGUUUACCUUUAUUGUUUUGUCAUGAGAACCACUUAGAUAUAUCUGUAACAAAACUUAUUCAAUUAAUUCACGAAUAUAUCUAUAUCAACAAGCUUAUGAAAGCACGCAUCCAUAACUUAAAAACAAGUAAAAAACAGUAUGUACGGCCGGGUCGAACUUUUAAUAUCCCGCACUAAACUACAAAUAACUGAAAGACCGUUUGGAUAAGGCAGUUAAGCUUUUGAAAAAAUCAUAAAGUGAGUGGGACCGCCAUAUGGGGGUCUGUUAUCUAUUGAAGGAGACCAAACCCUCCUCGCGGUUAACGCUGAAGGGAGGAGGGCAACUGAGGAAACGCUUCCCGAAGCAUAGAAGCCGUCAAGGGGUAAUGUUCCUCCUCCGCCGCCAGUGUCAUCGACACUUGUUGUUGACGAAGGACUUUGCUAGGCUGGCCCUAGGUUUGUUAAGGUUAAACCUAUAACCGCCAACCCGCAGCCUCCGAGCCAAACUAACAGGAAAAGGAAUCAUUCCCAAACCACCUACCAGGACAACCUCCGUGUAGCGGUCAUCGACCAAGCUGAGCCGGAACGCAAAAUCAGCGAAAGUCGGUGGCUUCUCAUUGAGGACCUCUGAGAGAGUUGGUUUUCCUAUGGGAAGAUCCUUCACGGCUACAGUUCGCAGUGCUACCCUCUACAAAGGAGUGAAGGUCAUCUGCUGCGAGAACGAGGAGUCCAAAACCUUCCUGUAGUAGCUGGCUUUCAAGGGCUUUGAGAUGGAAGAGCACUUGCUGCUGUAUCUCUAAAGGAAAUUCCCUGUAGGAGAAUAUUGACAGCAUGGGUGCCACCACCCUAGGGGAUCCGACACGCGUGCUGACAAUAUUAGGAAAACAAAAUCCCAACCUCAGUACGGAGAGUUGGCGUUUAGUCGGCUCAAGUACGGGGGGGGGGGGAGGUCUGGUCGUCAAAGUAUCUAUUGAUACAGCUGGCCAGGACCACCUUCAGGCUCGUGGAUAAAGCUGCACUUUGGCACAUGAGGGAUCCCAAUCCGUCCAACGCCGACGUAGCAGUAGGAGGAAGAAGCCGCAACUGCUCAAAGUUGUGCAUAUUAAUCUGCACCACGGUAAGACAGCCGCAGCUGAACUUCUCUUGUCUCUCACCAAGUUUGAAGUAGACAUAGCCCUGGUCCAGGAACCUUAUAUAGUCAAAAAUAGGUGACUUGGCUAGGGAGUGAGCGGUACAUCACCUAUGCUACAUCCAAUGGAGAAAAGCGGAGGAGACGCCACGGCGGGUUUGCCUCCAUUUACCUACCCUUUGAGUACCCCAACCCGCCAGGAGAGUAGUAGAGAGGCUGUUCACGGAGUUGGGAAACAGAGGCAAUCUCGUCGUUGGAUGGAUGCUAACGCUCACCAUUUUAAAUGGGGUACGAACGCAAGAGUGGAGGAGACGCCACGUACCCUUUGAGUACCCCAACCCGCCAGGAAAGUAGUAGAGAGGCUGUUCACGGAGUUGGGAAACAGAGGUCGUUGGAUGGAUGCUAACGUCGUUGGAUGGAUGCUAACGCUCACCAUUUUAAAUGGGGUACGAACGCAAGAGGUGAGUACAUUUUUGAUUUUAUUUUAACACAUAAUCUCAAAAUAUGUAACAGGGAAAAUGAGGCAGCUUUUAAAAAUAGGAAUACGGAGCAGGCUAUUGAUCUCAUCCUUACUAACUUGGAAGUUUCCACCGAUUGUUCCUUCUCGGACCAUCGGAAGAUAACACUCCAGGUAUCGGUAGAGGUAUUGCAUCAAAAACCGCAUAGACUCUGUGGACGAGUCCGUUAAUUUGUUAACCAAAGUCCUGAUUGGGAGCUACCUUCCCGGGAAAAAGGUGCCAACCUGCCUGGUGGUCGAAAGACCUAGUCCAUCUCAGGAAGAUAAGCAGACGCCUUUACAAUAGGGCCAGCAAGACCAAACUGGGUACGGACUGGGAGGCUUACAAAUCAGCCUUCAACAAGUAUAAAAGUGAAAUCAAGAAGGCCAAACGAAAGCCUUGGGUUUGCUUUACUGAGUCCACAGAAGAUGUCAACGCAGCCUCUAGAGGACGUUGGUCUGACUGAGAGGAUUGUAAGCGCUCCCAAAAUUUUGUGGGCUAUAUAUUCAUUCAAACCUUUCAAGUCACCGGGACCGGAUGGCAUUAUUCCCACCAUGCUACAGCAUGCAUCGACGGUAAUAAUACCACUUCUGGCGGCGAUUUUUAAGGCUUGCCUGCGUCUCUCUCACAUUCCACAUCACUGUGGAGGGAAGUUAUAGUCAAUUACAUUCCCAAGGCUGGAAAACCAAGAUAUGUGGUUCCAAAGGACUACAGGCCUAUUAGUCUCUCAUCAUUUCUAUUAAAAACGCUGGAGAGACUAUUAGACACUGGCAUUAAUGUUAUAUUCAUUGCUUCAAUCUCUCUUUGCAUUGGUUGGUUGUGGUAUCAGCAAACGAGGAAACUAAAUCUCCCAAAGCUACGUGUCCAACUGCCCUCUAUAGAUUCGCAGAUCUACGGGACGCAGAUAUUUAAGGAGGGAGGAGUUAACGACAUUGGCGACACUGUCUCUUCUGCAACUUAAGCUCAUUUCAUUUUGAUUGCAACACGCACUUCCGAUCCAAUUUCGAUAUUGCAAGCGAUGAGAAAUUCUUUCUGCAGUAUCAGCACCUGCAUAAUGGCGCGUGUUGGUUGAACGGAAUCAAUACAACCAGCCAACAAAGUUGGAAGGCAACCGGCAGUCUUGGCUUUGGCUAUUUCGAGUUCAGUUCAUUAAAUAUUAAUAUCUUCUAUGUAAUUAAUUAUUUUGAGUAUCAUUAAA